AUCCAGUAUGUGAGCAAACUAGCUGUUCUAGAGAUGAGGUAUGUUAUUUACUCACACAGUAAUACACUAUCCCAAGAUCCAGAGGAAAUCAUAUGCAUGCGAUCUGAGACAAGAGAGAGGCAGAAAAGCAGCACUAUUACUUUGUCACUGGUGGGAAUCUCCACAGCAGGUGUUGUGCUAAAAGUGCAAGCUUAAGGGAUCAUCACUAUCAAGAUAAAAGUCACAGUAUGGAAAAUAUACCGAUGACGUGGCUGACUAGAAAAAAAAAAAUGACACCUUGUAGCUUUUUCUUUCUGUCUCUUAUCAUCAGAUAUCAUCAUCAUCUAUGUAUCUUAACAGCAGAUCUGAGGUUGGCUAAAACCUGUUGCCAUGAGCUCCGCUGAAUCCAUCAAAACUGUGGCUCAGAGGUAUUACACCGGCACAUAGCAUAGGAGAACUCCAUAACAAGUGUCGAGGAAAGGAGAAAGGGGAACUGUUAAAAUCAAUUGCCUCCUCUAAACUGAUAAGUGUAGGCUUCUUGUCACACACUACUGCCUACAGCAAGCCGCGAACAGCACAGAUGUUGACAACCAUGACAGGGAUUUCUGCAUACAAGCAACCACUCGAGGCUGAGCACUCUCUCUGUCUCUUUGCAUGUCCUAGAAAGACCCAGAAGAGCUCAGUGUUUCUCUGCUGUUAGUUACAUCCUCCAAGCACUUCCAAAGGCACGCUGCUCUGUAGAAAAAGCUGAGCUGCCCAGAAAGUUUGUGCAGGAAGAAGGCAGCAGUGUCAGUGCACGUCAUCCUGGGGGAUCUGAAAGCAUUUGUGAAGAGAACAGGGAAAGAAGAGGGAAGAGAGCAAAACCAACAGGCACUAGCACUGCUGCCCACAGGGGGCGGGGCUUGAGGCAGGGCCUGUGCCAGAGGGGGGCCUGGCACAGUUAGGGCCAGCUCAGGGCCCAGAGCAGAGGGGGAGCAGGCAGAGGCAGGGCCUUGGGGCCCAGGAUGGAGGAGGACCAGGCACAGCUGGGGCCAGCUCAGGGCCCAGAGCAGAGGGGGACCAGGCACAGCUGAGGCCACUGCAGGGCCCAGGUGGACAUCCACAGUGUCUUCCAAGUGACACCUGGAAGAGGUACAGACUGGAGGUACAGGACCCUCAAUCUCCGGUGAGUAACAGAGCCAAGGAGGCUUUGGGCUUGCAGGUCCUGAUUCCUGUGCUGUGCAGGCCACCGUGAGAGAAAUAGAUAUCUGGCUGGCCGCA
rnacentral:lncRNA from 1 species